rnacentral:rRNA from 1 species
CACGUAGGGCGCGAGCGUUGUCCGGAAUUAUUGGGCGUAAAGAGCUCGUAGGCGGUCUGUUGCGUCCGCUGUGAAAGCCCGGGGCUUAACCCCGGGUCUGCAGUGGAUACGGGCAGGCUAGAGGUAGGUAGGGGAGAGUGGAAUUCCCGGUGUAGCGGUGAAAUGCGUAGAGAUCCGGAGGAACACCAAAGGCGAAGGCAGUGUCCUGGGGAGUACCUGACGCUCAGGUGCGAAAGCCAGGGGAGCGAACGGG